AUACAGAGGGUGCAAGCGUUAAUCGGAUUUACUGGGCGUAAAGCGCGCGUAGGUGGCUAAUUAAGUCAAGUGUGAAAUCCCCGAGCUUAACUUGGGAAUUGCAUUCGAUACUGGUUAGCUAGAGUAUGGGAGAGGAUGGUAGAAUUCCAGGUGUAGCGGUGAAAUGCGUAGAGAUCUGGAGGAAUACCGAUGGCGAAGGCAGCCAUCUGGCCUAAUACUGACACUGAGGUGCGAAAGCAUGGGGAGCAAACAGGAUUAGAUACCCUGGUAGUCCAUGCCGUAAACGAUGUCUACUAGCCGUUGGGGCCCUUGAGGCUUUAGUGGCGCAGCUAACGCGAUUAGUAGACCGCCUGGGGAGUACGGUCGCAAGACUAAAACUCAAAGGAAUUGACGGGG
rnacentral:rRNA from 1 species